GCCUCUCUCUGUGUCUCUUAUGAAUAGGUAAAUAAAAUCUUUAAAAAAUAAAAUAAAAAUAAAUAAAUAAAUAACAUCUUUCCCAUCAGUCCUCUAGACCAAAUAUGUAUGCUUAGUAUCUUUAAUGUGCUAUAGGAUUUCCAGAGUCUCGUGGGAAUUCAAAUUUUUAAUAAAUUAUUUCUCAUUUGCAAAUUAGGUUUAAAACAAGAGAAGUGAAUAAGAUACUUUAAGUUGACAAGCAGUGUGGAGAAGGAGCUGAGCUGGAAAGAACAGAAAGUUCUUUUUGGCCUUGAAAUGAGGUCUGGACUGGGCCACUUCAGUGUCUCUGCUUGCCUCUCUGUGCAGUAAGGCUAAUACGAGCAUACUACAUGAUUAGAUGAUAGAUGUGAGAGACAUUAGGCUUUCACAAAUGAUCAAAAUACAAAGCACAUCUUUCUCACUAUGAUUAUGCUGUCUUUUGGAGCAAAACAAUUCUAUAUAGUAGUAGUAUCUUGUAUACUACUGAAAUGAAAUGAAAUGAAUGAUAGUUUUAUUUUAACCAACAGUCAUAUCUGAAUCUUGACCAUUAUAUUUUUCACUGAGCUACUCUCAGGGAACAAAUGAACCAUAGAACUCGUAUUCUUAGCAAAUGCUCCCAAUGCAGUCUGGUUCCCAUCAGAAUGAGUUCAGGAAAUGCCAAAAGCCAGGCAGGCCACUUAAGAAAGGAAGGAAAACAAAUAGUUGAGAUAAUCUCCUAAGUGGACGAUCAGCUCCUAAAGAGAAGAAGAUUGGGGAUACCUCAUUUAUGCUAGGUUGAUAUUCUAAUACUAUUAGGGUAUGUUCUUUCUAAGCAGUGAAUUAUGCAGCUACUAUAUCAAGAGUGUCUGGAGCAAGGUCAUAUCUUCUCAUCAGGAGUCCUUGGUGUCCAGCACGGUGCCCGGAACAUACCCCGCUCCUAGCUAAGGUUUCUUGAAUGACCAGUUAUAGCAACUCAAAAGUUUGUUACUUACCUAUGCCUUUGAUUUUCUCAACAAAUCUUAACUUUACAGAUGAAGAAAAAGUAGUUUCAGAGAGGUUUGUUUUUUGUUUUGGGUUUUUUUUUUUUUUUUUUUUUUAGUUGAAAUAUAGUUGACAUACAAUAUUAUAUUAUUUUCAAGUCUUUCAUUUCUGGCCUCUAGGUUUCUUAGCACCAAAUCCACUACUACCCCAGAAGUAGAGCUUCUUGCUUUUUCAGGGACCAGUGGGAAUGACCUAUGUUUCCUCAAGGGGAAUUCUGUGCUGAUGCAGUUCCUUUCCUACAAAUACUAGGUUUCCAAGAAUCCAGAUAUACCUCAUGAAGUUUGAAAAGGUGUCUCUCAAGUGAUAAGCAUUUUGUAGGUGUUGGAUAAUGAAUAUGGCAGGAAAGCCAUGGGAAAAAUCUUCAUCUCUACCUGCAGUCCUUACCCUUCAUAGUCUCCUAUCAGUUUAUUGACUAACAGUUGUAAAAGCUUAAUUAAAGUGCUCUUAAAAACACUGGCAUUUGUCUAGCACCUUGUUCACAAAGUGCUUUCAAAUACAUAUAUAUAUGUAUGUGUAUAUAUAUAUAUACACACACACACACACACACACACACAUAUAUAUAUAUAUACACACAAUGUUCCUUACAACAUUGUUCUUCUACCUCAGAAGACUGACUAGUCACCUUUUUAAAUUUUGAGUUAUCCAGAGAUUUACUGAAACAGAAACAAGUUGGCCAGAUACUCGCUUGGAAAAAAGCAGUUUUAAUGGUAUUCAAAAAUAUAUUUUAAAAGGUAUUCUAGCACAAGUUUUCUUUGUACACUAGAUAUGCUGUAAACUUUUUUGUAAAUAUUUUAAGGGUGUCAGUUCUUAAGAACUAGAAGUUAUUCCAAAUCUAUCUUGUGCUCCUGAAAAACUGCAGAAAAGCACUUGAAAGCUGUUUCUUUAAGAUACGGAUUUCUUUUUUUAUUCUUGCUGGUAAUAUAUUGCUGCACCGAAUUAUGUGCGAUUUUUCGCUCAGGAUCAUGAUGCUGCGAAAUUUCAUUGAUAACCUAUCCAUCUCUAGUUUCAACCAUCUUAAUCAGAAGUGUCCUUUUUGAGUGAGUGUCAAUCAGAGGGAGUGAAUCCAGAUUGGUUUUCUUCAGGUUCAGGGAAGAAAAGUUUGGAAGAACAGAGCAAUCAUGCUCUCCGUGCCUUCCAGCAGCUUCCUGUAAGAUUGUCCCCUUUUCCCCCCACUGCUUUAAUCCCCCAGCAUCUGGCCCAGCUUCUGACACAAAAAUAGAUGCUCAUUAAAUAGUUGCCAAACUAUUGGAUAGAUAGUUUGGUGGAAUAGAUAAUGAAUAAGGGAAUAGAUAAUGAAAAAGGGAAUAAAUAUAGGUUUGUGCCAUAUAAUGCUGUUAAAAUAAUAAAGCACAAUGCAAAACAGUAAUUUUGUUUGUAUUUUUAGGUCUUGAACUUUCCAAGGAUAGAGUUAAGAACACAGUAAACAAUGAAUGUCAGUAACACAUUCUAAAAUAAAAAUUUCUAAAAUUUAGCUUCUCCCCCUGAUCUUACAGUUUCAGAUUUUGGAAAGCUGCUGUUUUGUAACAGCACAGGAAUAUGAUAUGAUGUUACCUUUGCCUUUCUUAGGUGCCGCUUCCUUGCCCAUUCUUGGCACCGGCUGAAUUUCCUUCAUGUAUUGGGGCAGAUGUGGAUACUCUUUGCCAUACUGCACGUGGGGCAGCUCCUUGCCCAUGCUAAGGCCGUCUUUGCCCAAAGGCAUGUGAGGUACUUGCUGGCCCAGAGGCUGGUAUUGUGGAAUUUGCGGUGGGAUCUGAGGAGGAAUUUGUGGUGGCAGUGGCUUGAUCCCAUAGUAAGCACCAGCCUGAAUGAGCCUGACGGAGCCCAGGGAAAUGGUAAGCAGCACUCCCAGCAGCUGCAGAGGGCCGGGCGGCGCAGCCAUCACCUGUGGGAGGAAUGAAUGCACCAAUAUGGUGAGAACUAGCAGGCCACAUGACAGGUUUGGUUAGAUAAAAGAAACAGUCUUUAUCAUCAGAACGUCACCCAUGGAAGACAAAUGAAAAGGAGGAGGAAGACCGUUACCUCUCAGUAGGAAACAAGCAAAAAACAGAAAGGAGAAGGAACUGUCAAAUGAAAGCAGUGGGUGGGAUCAUAAACCAUGGGAAAUACUGCUGUAUUGUAUCCCUAAAUAUCAAUCCUGCCUUCUUCCAUAGUGUUGGAACUCUUGAUUUUUAGCUGGAACAGAGCAGCCCAGGAUAAAGAUAUUUCAGCCAGGUGUGGCGAUGUGACAAAGUUCUCUCCAAUUGGAUGUAGUUGUAAUGGGUACAACCUCUGAGAAGAAUCUUGAGAGUGGCCCUGUUUUUCUUCUUCCUGCUGGCUGAAAUGUGGAAAUGUUGCCUGGAAACAGACCAGAUGCCUUGGACCAGCAAGUGAUCUCUGUGUACUGAGCAUGGUGGAGCCAACAAGGUCUUGAUGAAAAUCUGAAUCCUCAUUGAAGGGUCAUCAUCAUGCUGGAGAAAGAAGUGGCAAGGUUCUCACAAUUUUUAAGGACAAUCUAAUGAAACAUUGGAAAACUGGAAGAAAGAGAAAUGCCUGGAAGAAGACCAGUUGAAUACCAAAGGCCCAGUGGGAUCUACUUUACUACAAUUAUUUCCUCUUGUAGGCUUGGCCUUUCUCUCCUGAAAACCACCUCCUUAGGUCUGCCAUCUGCCAUUUCUCUGGCUCUUUAUUUAAAUAAACUUUGUUCAGUUUUAACUUGAAUAUUUAUGUAGGGGCCCCGAUUAGAAUUUACCGCUUGACUUACCCUUACUAAUUUCCCUCUUGUCCCUGAGGAUAUUUUUGGUGGUCAAAGUGGUGUGGUGGUUCUCCCCAAAUCACUCAAAAGAACAUCAGAUUUGUAUAAUGCUGUACAAACACCUGGCGGGAGGAAGGAGCCUUGGAAUUUCAGCUGGGAAAAAUGGUAAUAAUGGGUUUUCUUUCCCCUUUUUCUGAGGAUGCAGGACACAUAAUGGGGUGAAUUCUAGUUGAUGUUUUCUUAGAUUUCUAUUUGAUAAUGUGUGUAUGCACGCUUGACUAUACACGAACAUAAACAUGUAUAAUGUGUGUGGACAGUGGAUCUUUGCCAGUCAGGCCAACUUAGUGAUGGGUCUCAUGUCAUUAAGGGAGAAGCCUUUAGAAGAAGCCAAAGACCUGGAUUUCGGUUGUACCUCUGCCAUUCAUCAUGUGGCUUUGGGCAAGUCCCUUAUCUUCACUAAGCCUCAGUUUCCUUCCCUAUAAAACAGCAACUAUAAAAAAGAAAUUACAAUCUCGGCCUCUCCCACAGAGCUGUUCAAGGACACGAAUGAUAAUAUGAAUUAUUUUUUGUAAGCUGAAAAGCACCGCUCAAAUUUAAGUUAUUAUUAAUGGAGUGUGACCAAAAAGACAAAUCAAAACCAACUGAAAUGUCAAAGACUUUCAAAGAAGGAUACUAGCCAAAAUAAAUGUGAGGUUAACUGCAGUAAUGAUAAACCUAACAUGAAUAAAAUAAUAAUGACCAUUAAAAUGUACUUGUUAAAAAUGGCAAAAAAGAACAGCUGAACUAGGGCAGUUACUCAUUCUGGUGUCAGAAUCACCAAUGCUAAUCAUUCUGAACAGCCCUAAAUGGUUCCCUAUAUUUGGGAAGGGCUGCAGUGAGUUUCAUUUCCUCAUGUGACCCGUAAUGUAUAUAGCAGAAUAAUGUGAUAUAUAUUAUUUUAGACGCUCCUCAGCAUUUUAUUUGUACAUUUAUCCCCAUGAGAUGUUGGCUUGCUGUGCAAAAGAAUGUUUAAGUAUUUAAACCUUCAGUUCUUGCCCUAAAUCCAACUUUCCUUUUCACAUGGCGCUAACACAGUGCGCAUGUCUGCCUGCUACCGUGUGUUUGUGUGUGUGUGUGUGUGUGUGUGUGUGUGUGUGGUGUAGACAAGCCUCUCUCAUCUGCUGCUUGACAGUCCCUCACACAGGAUUUGUAGUUUCUCAAGGCCUCAGAUUUUUUUUUAAAGAUUUUAUUUGUUUAUUCACAAGAGAUACAGAGAGGCAAAGACAUAGGCAGAGGAAGAAGCAGGCUCCAUGCAGGGAGCCCGAUGCAGGACUUGAUCCCAGAACCCUGGGGUUACAACCUGAGCCAAAGGCAGAUGCUCAACCACUGAGCCAUCCAGAUGCUCCAUCAAGCCCUCAGAUUUAUCAUCUUUGAAGCAAGGGGAAGUUAGAAUCCUACUCCUGCAGUAUUCACCAGAAUUGUCUUCUUGGCUUUCCUAUCCAUGCCUCUCAAAGAAUGUUCUCUACUGUUUGCAUUUCUCAGAGCAAUUCAUUCCUUAGCUAUAGAUAUGUGAGGAGUGCCUACUAAUUAUUACAAACUGUUAUGGGUACUGGGGAGAGAAGUGAAUUAGAGAGAUGAGGUCCAUGAUCUUAUUGAACUCACAUUCCAGUGUGGGGAGAUGGGCAAUAAUAAACAAAGAUAAAUUUUAUAGUUUUAGAUUUGAGUGCUGUGAAAAAGAAAACGAGUGAAGGGCUGGAGAAUGACUUGAAGUAAAGACACUAUUUUGGAAAGGGUGAUGGCGGGAGAUAUCCCUGAGGAAGCAAAUUUUGGAUAGAGAUGUGAAAGUUGAAAGCCUUGUUUGUCUCUCAUGAUACAAUACUAAAACAAACAAAAAAUCCAGAAAGUCCGAUAUAUCACAAUGAUAGUUAUAGGUGACUUUCCCUAAUGUAAACCAUUGUUUCAAAGCUUUAUGCUUCAUCUAUGUCUGUCCUCAUUUUGACCUCCUUAUUAUAUCCUUUUUUUUUUUCCUGGAGUUUUCUUUUUUUCUUUUAAAUCUUUCUCUAGAUUUCAGCCCUACUAUGUAAGUUUGCUAGGUCUACCAUGACCAAGUAUCUUAGACUGGAUGGUUUAAACAACAGAAGUUUAGUCUCCCCCCAAUUGUGGAGACUAGAAGUCAGAAGUCAAGAUAUUGGCAUAGUGGGUUUCUUCUGAGAUCCAUCUCCUUGGCUUGUAGAUGGCCAUCUUCUUCCUAUGUCUUCACAUGAUCUUUACUCUGUGUAUUUGUGUCCUUUAUAAGGACACUAGUCAUGUUAGAUUAGAGCCUACCCUACUGAACUCAUUUUGACUUAAUUUCCUCUUUAAAAAACCCCUUUUUAAAUACAGUCACAUUUGAAAGUGCUAGGGGUUAGGAUUUCAAAAUAUGAAUUUGGGUGGAAACACAACUCAGCCAAUACCUACCGUUCCUGUAGACCAGGCCAAUUCCUGCCUCUUCUGCAAAGUCUUCCCUACCUUUUAAACCAUUAUUAUCUUCCUUGUCCUAUUGAAAUUUAACACAAAGUUAAAUGCAGCUCAUCAACCUUAUGUUUUUUCCUUUUUUUUUUUUUUUUGGUUCAUUAAACCUCAAUAUGAUUGUUAAGUUUGCUGAGGGCAAGGAAAAUAUGUGAUACUAGUUUGAUUUUCUCAGCGUCUAUUGAAAGAGCUUUAUAGUCAAAACUCUUAAGGUUGAUAGGGGCUUUAGAAAAUAUCUACUUUAGCCUCAUUCUGUAUUUAGAAUCCUGUCUACAAGAGUUGCUAACAGAAAGCCCUCAUAUUUCCUACUUAGAUAUAAUGAUAGAAACAUUCAUAAAGCAACCUAUUACCAUGUCAUACAACUUUCCUUUAAGAUAUAUUUAUUUUAGAGAGAGAAAGAGCACAAGUCGGGGAGGAGCAGAGAGAAAGAAUCUGAAGUAGGUUCCCUGCUGAGCAUGGAACCUGACCUGGGGCUCCAUCUCACGACCCUGAGAUCAUGACCUGAGCCAAAGCCAAGAGUUGGUCACUUAGUUGACUGAGCCAUCAGGUACCCCAUGUCGUACAACUUUUGUUAUUAUUUUUACCUAAGCAGCUGGUAGGGAAGACCCACUUUUUUUGAUUCAUACAUGGCAGUGCCCAUAUAGCUUGCUUUUAAUGGGAAGUGAGAAGGGGAAAUUAAGAAUAUAUCCCAAAAUUGGCUAAGGCAAAAGAUGAAUGGUUACAUGACCUGUUACUUUUAUGCCAAUAAGCCUACCUUAGGAUCAUUUAAGGAUAUAUAACUUAUUGCAUAAUUGAUUAGCAUUCAAGAUAUUAACAACUCUGUUGAUCAGGAUAUGGUUUUAUUGCCCUUUACUAUGUUAACUAGUUUUGUAUCUGACAUAGCGUUAUCUCAGCAUUCUUUUUUAUCAGCUCAUUAUGAUAAAAAUGAACCCAACUUCAUAAUAUUUUAUUUCAAACCAACUUUGUCAUCAUGUUAAAUAAAACUUCGACAUGUUCACUUGUGAAUGAGAAUUGUGUUAACAUUUUGAAAGUUACUCUUUGAUAGGGCAUAAAAAAAUAACCAAAAACCUAAAUAUAGGCAGUGUCGGAUAAUAUGGAGAAAAAGCAGGAGAGGGUAGCUAAGGAGGUAGAUGGGUAUCAUUUGUGCAGAUGAUAUUCUUUGAAACCCAUUUUACUAUAGAAAUGGAGUCUUCUGUGCUUGGAUGAGCUGGCACCUGCAUUUUAAAGGAAGGUAGAAGCAACUUUAAAUAAUAGAGGGUAGAGAAAUUCUGAGGGAUUUUGGAGGAGAUUAAAUGUGAGCAGAGUUGAUUGCUGCAUGGAAGAGUCCCAGAAAAGGAGAUCUCCAGUGAAGGAACAGUCAAGAAAAGAAAAACUCAUUUCAGAAAGGCUUUUUAUAUUUAUUAUAGGAUAUGUAUUGUAAAUCCCCUCCUUCAUGUCCUCAGAGAUGAAGAAACUCUAAUCCUGCAGAAGAAAACCUAAUUCUUUUGUGGGAAUUGAUUUGGGGGUUAGGUGGAAGAAUGGUUCAAUGCUGCUCCAGGGUGACAAGGGGCCAAAUCAGUGACUGAAUAUGAGAAAACCAGAAAACCAGAACCAGAGCAGAGGAUGGCUAGGGGAGGUGGGCCAAUGAACAUAAAAGUUAUAAUAAUAUUAGGUACAUUUUUGAGAACUUACUUUAUGCCAGCACCAUGAACAUACUUCAAAUAUAUUAUAUUAAUAAUCUUGUAUCCACUUACUAAGUUUUUUAAAAUGUUAAACUCAAAUGAUAUCUCCCUAUCCUGUAUUUAUAAAAUUGAUUAUUUUACUGAAAUUCAAGACUGUUCAAUUCUGAGUUAAAGCUUUUAAAUUCUUAUUUGAUUACUUUUAGGAGCCAUCAUCUAAUACAUUAUCUAACAAAUCUUUCUACUUUGUUUUACAAGUAUAGAUCUAAUUAUACUGUCACUUUUCUCCAUCUUGUCCUCCAAAUACUAGGCUACCUUUUUAAUUGAAAGAGUUUCUCUGUUAUAUAGGAUGUGAUCCUGGACUGGUUCCCUUCCUUUUUGCUUCUUGGACUAGGGACACAAGCUUGAAGGCAUUCAUGAAGCCAGAAAGCCACUAGCAACAUGAAGAUGCUAAGAUGAAGCCUAAAGAAAUAUGUUGAAAUAUUAGAUGUUGGUCAGUCACUCCAAUGAAGGCAUUGGACAAGAUCAUCCCAUAAGCACUCAUUAGUUUUAAUCAAUCUGCCCACUUAUAUCUAUCAGGACUGAUGUAAAUAUAAGGUGGCUUAAUUUACAGGCUUCACUGAUGAAUCCUCUAUAACCAAGAGCAGCAAACAAUCUCACCUACGAGCUAUGGGUAGAGCAUGAUGUCACAGGGCCUACAGAAAUUUGAGAUGUAAAUCAGGUUAUAUCCCCAGCUCUAGAAAUGGGCCACCCACAUAAACCUUCCGAAAUAAUCCCCACAUUCCACAAAUUCUCCAGAAGAGGAGAUUUCACAACAUUCCCCAGUAACCAACUGCAGGAUUUCAUAGACCUACAUUUCUUAAUAUCUAAUCUGGAUCUUGCUGAACUUUAAACUCAUUUCCUCUUUUCCAUUCUCAAAGGAGGUGGGAAACAUCUGGAGAAUAUUUUCCUUAAAAUAAUAGUCCACAUACUCGAAGUCUGCAAUUAACUCCUUUUGUCUCUCUAAAUGGAAUCAUGUCAGCUGCCAAAUAGUUUAUAAAAUAGUUGAGAGGACUCCUAAAAGAGAAAGUUCUAAAGUGGAAUCCUUUUUUUGCUUGGUUCUGCUAGUCUCCCUAUAACAUGAACAUAUCAUUGUUCUCAGAGCAUAGAGCACCCAAAUUCUAGUUCUGACCUAAAAAAGUUACCUAUCCUGCCAAGGCAUUGGUUUCCUCAUUUGCAAAAUGGGAACAUUGGCUACAUGACUUCAAGGUCCCCUCUAGUUCUAAAAUUUUGUGGUAGCUGUGAACAUGAAUAACAUAUCCACACUUCAUAGAUAAAUGAUUUCAUGAAAGUACAUGCUCAAGCCUUUUGGAUAUCAUAAAGUUAAUUAAUCUCACACUUCCAGUUAUUUUUCAAUAUUCAUCUCUCCCUUCUUACAGUUGGAGAUGGAACAGGAAGAUUUGAAUGGUGCCCCCUCCCUACAUGGCCAAGAAACAGCAGAUAAUUCAAAAGCAAGAGCUGAGAAGAACUAACAAAAUACCACGGGUGCCUGAAGCCAAGCUUAUCGCAGAGAGGAGAGUACCCCUUCCUUCUCCCCUCAGAGUUCCUGGGGGAAAGUUCCAGGUGCGUACUUGGCAUGGUGGCGUUCCUGGCAGGCACACAACUGCCAACUAUUCCUGACCCGGUAGUUCCAACUUCAGCACCAGUGGCCAAUUUAUUCCUCUAGCACGCACCAGGAGGUGGACGCUAGCAAUUGCUAGUGUAGAAGAAACUUAGCCUCAAAAAUCAGAUUCUUUCCAUGUGGAUUUCAGUCCUGAGGAUCAACUGGGGACUCCUUUGGUGACAAUUUUUAUAGAUGACAACAGAAAUAAUUUUCCUUAAAAUCAAGUGUUACUAUUUCUUAGAUAGACAUUGAACUGGGAAAAAGAGCCUUAAAUACUUACUUGUCCCACAAUGAUCUCCAUAAUGCAUAAGCAGUACCCACAACCAAACUAAAAACUCAAGUUGCAAAGUUCUUGGUAGGAUUUGGAAUACCUAGCUCUUUCUAGGUGAUCAAGGACAUUAAGGAACUGGCAACAAGUUCUACAUUAUAUUUUGAAACCUGCUUUUAAAAAUUAAUAUAUAAUUAAAUAAUUUACACAAUUUUUAAUAUCUACCUUCAAAGGUCACACGGAGGAUUAGUUACCAUGACCUAUUUCCAUUUUCCUAACUCUUUCACGGUUCCGCACCCAGAUAGAUGACAAAACCAGUUUUUGAAAUGCAACACUGGAAGCAGAGAAAAUAACUGAAAAGACCCCAAUGACAUUCUUAGAACAGGAGAAGGUCAUCAGCAGAAUUAUAAAUGGAAAACAGAGACAAGAGAAUUUUUAAGAAGACUCUAAAGUUCUACAGCAUAGAGAAAAGGAGAGAAGAAAUGCAUAUUGGGCAUAAGCCCUCAUCCCAAUCCUACUCUGAGAAAGUGCAAGAAGUUGGGAAAGUAGGAACUGAGAACAUCAUCAGCCCAUGGGGAAGUCAGUGUUCAUGGUGAUAAGCUUUUCCUGCAUGAGAGAAGAAGAUGGUGGAUGCUUUCCACUCCCCAAAGGUCUUAUGGUCAAAUACCUGAAGCCCUUUGUACCUGGAUUCAGCAGAGAAGAGUCUCCUUCCUAGAGUGAAAAUCAGCUAGAACACAUUGGUCACAGAUGCCAUUGUUUCUCUUUGAGCAGCUGAACCACAGUGGCUUGGUUACUCCCUGCUUGAGCCAUGCCCUUCUCCAGCAGCCACAGAGACAACUGGAAGACAGACUUGUUGGAAAGCCAGCAAGUAUGAACUGAGAAAUCAUCUUAAGGCUCGAAUGAGUAGCAUCUGACGGGACAAAAAAUACCCGACUCACCAUUUCAUCAAAAGGCAAAGUUCAGUCCCUUCUUCUGUCAGAAAGUUUGAUAGCAGCAAAGGCUUCGAUGGGAACUGCACGCCCAACGGACUUUCCUAACACUGGACGGAUUUGGAAUGUGCCGUUCUUGCUGCUAAAGACGUUUUUCCACUCUUGGCCUUCCAAAACCCAGAGUUCAAAGCUGCACUACUAGUUUUUUAUGCGGGAGCAAAUUGACCACAACACUAUUAGAAAAAGACAUGAGUCAGUGUGUUUGGCUCUUUGUUUCUUUGUGGUGAUCUUUGGAAAGGAAGGCUUGUAAGGAAAGAAAAGCAAGGAAAGACCAGUUUGCAUCUUUUCCUUGAGGGGUGUUUGCUUAAAAAAUAACAACCCCAAACCAGGCUAUUAUUGGGAUUUAUAUUAAGCAUUUCCAAGCUUUGAAACGGGAACAAAGUCCACCAGACCCUUGUGAGCUUCUGAUUUAUGCUGCCACGAUGCUCUGGAUGUGAUACAGUUAAAGUUCAGCCUGAAUUAGUAGAAAGAAGAAGACUUCAGGAGGAGAACGAUCUAGGUUCAUAGUCUAGCUCCAACAUUCACUAUUAAAUGAGAUUUGCUUACUCUUUCUAAGCCUCCACUACCUCAGGUGUAAAAUGUAGAUAAAAUCUUCCUCUAUCUAAUUCAAAUGAAGGAAUGAAUAUACAACACAUCAUAAAUAUAUAAAGUCUAUAAACAGUAAAUUUUUCUACAAAGUUUAUUAUUGUCAGUAUCAUUCUCUUAAUUUUUAAAAGUUCCCAAAUUAAGAUACUUACUAAUGCUUUUGCUGAUGUGGUGAUAAUGAAUUCUAUUUUAUAAAAACAAGGUACUAAGCCUCUCCAGUGUUCUUGCUCUGUUGAAAAGGAGCCAUGGAUUCUUUCUUUAGUCACUGGCUCACGUCUGCAGAUGAGAAUUUUAUUUAUAUGUAUUCAAAUGUGAUUUAAACACAUGGUGAUUCUUUUAUGGCUAAAUAUAAAAAAUUUACAAGUUAAAUGUUAUUACUAUCUUUACCAUUUACUUUAGAGCUUGCUCAUGCUAUAAUUUGUAAAUACUUUACAAGGCAGGGGAAAAUACACACCCAUAAUUAUUUCUCGAUGUUGUCUGGCUCAUGAUAGCUGGGUAAAUUCUUUUAUUUUAUUAUUUUAAAAAGAGUUUUCAUUGAAAGUUUUUCCAGUCACUCCAAAUAAACUUAGCUGUAAAUGGAAAAGAUACAGCUGAUUGCUCUGGCUUCUUGAGCGUGUCUUCUGCCCCUGUCCCGCUCUUCACUGAGUCAGAAGGAAAG